UGGUAAUGACCAUUUCAGUAUGAUUAAUUAGACUUCACUCCUUAUGUAUAUUUCUGAGUUUGGUUAUUUUUAAUGUUAUUGAGUUGAUCGUGAUGAUAAUGAUGAUGAUGAUGAUGAUGGGAGCGGUGAUGUAGUGGUACUAUCGAUGCUGAUGAUAAUGAUGGCGGUGAUGAUUAACUCUGAUUGGGUGAAAUUAUGAUCAAAGGCAUUCUAGCCGUGGUAGUUCCGUCCAAUAUAUCCAAUAUACUCUUCCCGACACAUGCACUUUAGAAUCCACAUAAGAAAAUUAGAAAUUAGCAAUUAUUUCUAGCAAUUCAACAAACCGUGUAUAUCUUAGUUACAUUUGGGUGUAUGCGGGUGCGUACGCACGUGUGGUGUGUGUAUGUGAAUUUGUGUGAGAGAACUGGUGUGUGUGUACGCAUGUGCGCCCCGACUCUAUAUUCUUGGAUCUGGCUGUAAUGUUAAAACAUAUUCGCUAGCCAGCAUAGCGCUGCACCUAUUGGCACUUUAGCUGAAAAAAAAAAAAUACAAAAAAAACAAACAAACAAAAAUCAGAGGAAUUUACAUGGCUUCUGUCUUAAUUAAAGAUGUGUACACACGCUGAUAACUCUAAUUACAAUGGAUCUCUUACGUUCAUCAAGGUGUUGGACUUCAAUACAAAAGAACACAUGCACAGUGAAAUUUGCGACAGAGAUUAUAUCGCGGGACUAUACUAUCGGACGUGACCUUACUUUUUCUAAAAUGAUGAGAUCUGAUUCAAGGGAGAUUUCACUGAUAUUUCUACUAAACCAAGCUACCGUGGAGUGAUAUAUUCAUUGCAUCGAUUUUCAUUGGAUAACUCUUAAAAUGAAAACACUUAUGGCACACGUAGUUUCCAGAGUUAUUAUUUAUUUAUUUGUCCUAUAUCAAUGAUUAAGAAAAGUUAUUAGGUUACUAGAACUCACCAUUAACUGAUAACAUUUUAAAUAUAUUUCUAAAUUUAUCUCUAAUGCAAACAGAAUCAGUGUCCCCUGCUGCGAGCACCAUAAAGCAAGACUACAUCUCCUAAUGAGUGGAAAGGAUCCAUUUCAUUUUCAUUAAAAAAAACCAAUUCCGUUCAUUUUUUUAAGGCUUUCUCAGAGGUGGAAGAACUCUGUCUAGUUGAAUAAACGAAGAAAUAUAUGAUCAGCCCGAACGUAACUCAAAUGUUAAAAAUUCAACUUCUUAAAACGUAUGCAAGGAACCAGGUGGUGUUAAUUAACUUUCUGAUCGAUAAGGGUCUGUUACAUAAAUUUAUGUACCACCCAAACAGACUUUCUUCUAGUUGCUUGUCUAACCAACUCUUUUCAUUGAAAAGAGCUUGGCUGACCUUGAGGCAAAGAUUGUGGAUACGUUUUCAAUGAGUUGAGCAGCGGACCUAACCUAGAACCAUGUAAUUGCGGAACUAAUUUUUUAACCACACAGAGCACUAUGAUGUCAUGCUCUUGGGUAAUUCAUGAAUAUUCUACAAUAUCAUUUUCCUUGUUUGAAAGAAGGAUUUUAUUAGAGACUUAAAUAAGGUGGCGAGGUAGCAGAAUUUUAGCACGCCGGCUUAAAUGAUUAUUAGCGGCAUUUUACCUGUCUUUACUUUCAAAUUCUGUCAAGGUCGACUUUGCAAUUCAUUCUUUAAGGGUCAAUAAAAUAAGUACUACUCGAGCAUUGGAGUCAGUUUAAUGCACUAUUUUUCCUCCCACAAAAUUUCAGGUCUUGUGCCUAUAGAAGAAAGACUGUUAGGGAUUUAUAUGAAGGCGGCGACUUGAUAGAAUCGUCAGCACACCGGAUAAAACGAGUAGCAGCGUUUCACUCAUCUUUACGUACUCGAUUUAAGUUCUGCUGAAGUCGACUGUACCUUUCGUUCUUUGGGGGUCGAUGAAAUAAGUAAUAGUCGAGUACUGAGUCAAUAUAAUGGACUAUUCCCCCUCCCCCCGAAAAAAAAUUCUUGUCUUGUACCUAUAGUAGAAAGAUUAUUAGGAAUUUAUAUGAAGACGGUGAACUGGCAGAGUCGUUAGCACGCCGGACAAAAUGCCUUGCGGCAGUUCAUCCGGUUUUACGUAUUAGAGCAAAUACCUCCGAGUUUGAUUUUGCCAUUCAUCCUUUCGGGGUGGGGGGGGGCAAUGAAAUAAGUACCAGAUGAACAGUGGGGUUGAUAUAGUUGAUUAGCCCAGUCCCCCAAAAUGCAGGCCUUCCGUCUUAUAAUAGAAACAUAUUGAUUUAUAUUGUUGAGAAACGUUAGUUUAUAACAAUGAAUACACCUCUGACAUGCAAAAAGAAAAACGUCAAAUAAGUGAAAUGAAUUUUCGAUUGAGAGGACAGCAGUUUAAGUGUAAUAGUAUGUGUCAAACUGAUGUCAUUUAGAAACUAAUUAAUCUGUUUGUAAUCUCCUGCCUGACCUUGUCCCAUAUGAGAAAACAAUACGGUCGAAUGCUGAUUUAGGUAAGCCACUGGCAUGUCUUACACUUAAAUACAAACACACACAUUCUGACGUAAGUCACAUUGUAGACACAUGUACACACACACAUACACACAUACUACAUUCACACACACCACUGAAAACAAAGAGCCAUAACUGUGAGUAUGUAUGUACACGUGCAUGUGUAUAUUCAUGUAUAUGUGUAUGUAUGAAUAACGCAUAAAUUAAUGAAUGAUUGGCUCAAUCUAUCUAUCUAUAUAUAUGUGUGUCUGUCUAUCUGUCUGUUUGCCUGCCUGUCUAUCUAUCUGUCUGUCUGCCUGUCUGCCUGUCUGUCUGUCUGUCUGUCUGUCUGUCCAUCUCUCUAUCUGUAUAUCUUUCUAUGUAUGUAUGUAUGUAUGUAUACAUGUAAGUACUUCUCUCUGUCUCUCUCUGUCUGUCUGUCUCUCUCUCUCUCUGUCUGUCUGUCUGUCUGUCUCUCUCUCUCUCUCUCUCUCUCUCUCUAUAUAUAUAUAUAUAUGAAGUACAUAGAGAAAAUACAUAAGGGAAAUUACACACAUACAUGCAAUCAAUAUGUGUGACUAUGCGUAUUUGAGUGAUUGCAUGCGUGUCUGAACACAUGUUUCGGCUUUAAUUUUCUAAUUUUUACAAUUUCGUAAAUGUCAAAUCUAAUCUGUGAUAGACCCAUUUCAAAAAUCGUAAUUAAUCAAUUAUAUUAAAUUAUCAAUCAGUUGUGCGAUUAGAAGUUAUUAAUAUCAAAUAUUUCAAUUUAAAUAAUUAAUUCAUAAAUUCCCUUCAUGUACAUUGUAUCCACGUAUUAAAGUGGCUGCUGUUCGUGUUUAUAAAAUAUAGCUGGUGUAUUUCCCCUCGUUGUGACUAAAUGAAAUGUGUAAAGACGUUGGAAAGUGAAAUUCAUCAGCAGGAUGUAAUUUCCGCCAAGUAAAACUUAAUUCGGGUAUCACGUGCAAUCGAAGGAACGUUAGCGCGCAUCUGCUAGAAAUAGCAGUGAAAUCCCCUCAACUCACAGUUUAUUUUAUCGAAAGACGAAGAGCUCAUUGAAUAUGUACUGUGUCGAAAAAUAAAACAAAACAAAACAAGAAAAAAAAAACGAUUUAGUGACAGAGAGUAUAUCUAUGGUUCUUUAUGUUAACGAUUCCGAAAAAAAAAAAUGAAAGACAAAAUUAA